UUUUUUAUGGGGGGGGGGGUGAGAUCCAUUGUGGAAUUAAUGUCAAUGUGUUUUUAAUACUCAAAAUUAAGACAAUAUACAGGAAAAGGAUAGUCUGCUCAGCAGUUGGUGACACAUAUGGACUCAGUAGCACAAUUGUUGGCCACAAAAACGUCAUUAUUUAGGGGUUAACACAGAGGUGAGGUCAUCCAGUGGAUACUUGGUUUGCUUCCAUGUUGAAAAAUAAACCAAAGGUACAACGAGUUUAUUCAUCUUUGGCAAUGCCUACAAUCCUGCGUCCUGCUUAGAGUGGAUUUAAAAACCAACAAUAGUCCCCGAAAUUAGUUGAAGAAUGAUUCAUAUUCCUCUUUCAGGCCUACAAUCUUUUGAAAUAAUGUUUAAAACACCUUUUCUUCAUUCUUGUAGGGCGACAUGAAGCAGAGAACCAGGAAGCACCGAUCCAAGGCCCACCCCCGCGGGAUGAGUCUGCCACCACAUCCGGAGCUGGUGGUGGCUUGGACACGCAUACUGCCCAGAUGAUAAUCUCAGAAAUCUUGGCGUGCAGGGAAGAAGUGGAGGAAAUAAAUCAGGCCAGCCGAGAAAUUGUACAAAGGACAAGGAGGGUGGAAAAUAAAUUACGCAAUCUAAUAGAUGUUUUGGGUAGAGUUUAAAACU